GUGUAGAAACAUACACACACGUAAUGUACACAUAUGUAUAGUGCACAUAUGCACGCACUUGUACACACAUUUAGGCAUACACAUGCAUAUGUAGAUGCAUGUGUACAUGCAUGUAUACAUCUACACAUGCACAGACACACAUACAUGUACACAUGCAUACUGUGUACAUAAUACAUGUAUACAGAUACAUGUGCGCAUGCACGUGUACACACAUGCAUGCAUACACACAUGCAUUUGUAGAUAUAUGUGUAGGUGUGUACACACAACAUACACAUAUGCAUCCACACAUACACAUAUACAUAUGAGGUGGCACGUUCAGCUUUCAAGAGGACCAUCAGGGACUUUGUCACCUUGACAACUUUAGCCUUGCCUUCUAGUCACCUUGCCGGAACACUUGUGCCCGUGUUUUUCUAGCACUGUCAUAAGAAUACUUUUACCUAUCAAGGCAACUGGGGGUUAGGAGAGCUUUUUGCACAGGAGGCUACUUGGCUUUGUUUGAAAACUGAUGAUACAUGAGGAUUGGGGUGGUGAAUCACUCACAUGUUUCUUCAUAUGAAAAAUGAGGACUGUGGGAUUCUCUGGCUGGAUCUCAGCACCUAGAAAUGGAUCUGGGCAAUAGGAACUGCUCAGUAUUAGCUACCGCUUUGGUUGCCUUCUCCUUGCGGAAAGCUGGCCUCUCACACUGAAUUUGUAUCAUAGGCACUCAUGAGGGUCUUGACUGUAUCAAUAUCUGAUGAGAGAUUUUAGUGCAGUUCUGUUAUCGUGGCUGAUUUGCUCAUUUGGUAGCUAGCAUCCAGCUUCUUGUGAACAUUAAAAUAAAAUAAAAUAGAUUAUGGAGGAAUAGAAUACAGAUACGUAGUAAGGUAUUAUUUUCCAGACAAAAUGGAUUUGGAUAAAAGAAUCUAAUUAAGAACUUGUGCAUGAUUCUUUUAAAAUUCUUUUGAAUCCAUUUUUUUUUUUUUGGCCUGUUUUCAAGUCUCCGAUUUUUGUCACCCUUCUCACACCAGGUCAGAGAGAUAGCUAAUGGUCAGAAGGAAUCUUCCAGCAAUGACCAUAGCGCUUUCUCCUGCCUGCAGAUGCCUCUUUUUAUUCAGCCUUUAUGGGAAGUAGCAGCACCAUCCAGUUCUCAGAGAGCAAGCUCUGGAGUAACUGAGCUAACCCCAGUUACCCCAGUGGAUUUACAGAUUGAGGUUACAACCCAGCAGGGUUCUCUUCCUGGAAAGAAUAGCCUUCCCUCUAAGGUUUCAAAUAGACCCUGGGUGAGGAAGGAGCCCUAAACAGCUUGAAAAAUUGAAUGCUCUUUGGGCAAAGCAGGAAGCCGUCCUAUGGAAGAGCAUCAUUUGAGCAUAAAUCAGGUUAUCAGGACAAACAGAGUGUUCAGGAGGUCAAGAUGGUUAAGCAGAGACCCUGACCAGAAUGUCCGUGGCGGAGAGAAACAAUCUUGUUGGGAAAAGGAUGACAAUAAUUGGGGACUUAGAAUAAAGGCUAAAAAUGAUUCAAAGAGAAUGCAAAAAGAAUCAGGCACAAAUCGUUUACUAUACUCUGUUAUGCAAAUCUCACCUUACUAUGUGUUUGUAUUCUAUUCCUCCACAAUCUUUAUUUUAUUUUAAUGUUCAAAGAGACUUGUAGGUGCCAAUUAAAUGAACAAAACAGCCAGAGACAACAGAACUGCCCUAAAAAAAGUCCCGCAUCAGCUCUUGAGAGCAGGUUCCUUAAAGGUGAACAAUAUUCCACAUACAAGGACUUUUUCAGCACCAUGCAUUAGAAAUGGAAGUGAAUGUUUAUUAUUUUUUGUAUAAGUUGGUUGAUAUGGCUUUUCAGCUUCCCUCAGUAUCAUUAUCCAAAUUUUGUAGAUGACACUAAAGCUCAGAGGAGUUAAACCAUUUUCCUUAAAUCACAUAGCUUUAAAUAGGAAAACCAGAUAUGAAAAGCAGAUUUUUUUUCUAAAUUAAAAAACCAAAAACAAAAACACGUGAGCUCUUGCUUUACCCUAGCACAUAGUCUUGCCAUCUGUUUUCUCCACACCAGGUGAUUCCUGUAACAUUCAUUCACAUAACAAAUACAAAUAAAUGAGUGGAUUCAUUCAUCAGAUAUUAAUUCAGAAUCCCUUUUGUGCCUUCCAGAAAUCUGGACCAUCUCACAACCCCCAGAGAGUCUCAGCUACAAGGAACAAGUGAUAAUGCCAUCCCACUUUUAUAAACACACACACACACACAUGCAAUACACACACAAUCAUUUAAUCAUUUUUAAUUAUUUAAUUAUUUUUUAAAAAUCAGUGACACUUUAGCUGGGCAGGUCUAGAUAGGUCUUCUUUGCUGGGACGUGUCUUUUUCUGUCCUGGAAUACCCUAAACUUCACAUUUUGGCAGCGUGAGUUUUCCCUUUGUGACUUUCUCCUUCUUCCCUUUUUUCCUCCUUCUUUGCAGAGAAUGAGUAGCCACUGCACCUUGCCCUGCGCCAUCAAUGAGAAGAUCUGCUCUUAGUAGAGCCCUGCUUUCCCGCUGAAGGCCCUGAAAUCACCUGUGUUCCAGGCCACCCACUAAGGAUAAACAAAGCUUCCCUGAUAUGGGGAAUUAGCUCAAGUGGUAGAGCGCUUGCUUAGCAUGCAAGAGGUAGUGGGAUCAAUGCCCACAUUCUCCAAGCUUUAUUAUUUAGGUACCCAAACCCGAGUCAGUGUCUGAGAGCAAGACACUGCUCUCGGUGUCUUUGGUUCAAGACAUAGGAGCAGCAACAAUACAGGACUGGUGACAGCUUCCUGCUGGCAUUCAGUAUAGUGUAGAUCUACUGUGUAAUUAAUUUUCUGUUUCUUCGAGGAGCUGUGAAACCAAAGGACAUAUAAAACUGCUCUUUUCUCCCUGUUUCUGCCUGCAGCUUGGUCCUAAAUGUGAGACAAUUGUGAAAAGUGGAGGACAGAGCCACCUGGUUAAAUACAGCCCCAGCUUUCUGGUGAGAGGACUGAAACCAAGAUGUGUCAAGUAACUAGAAUGUGCCUGGACAGAUACUGUAGAAAGCAAAACCAUAAAGUUGUUCAUGAGCUUGUGGACGCACCUGCCAGCUGUGAAUAAGUGGCUCUAAUCCCGAACAACUUACCUAAAAAGAGCCUGAGAGCUGAACUGUGCAAUGGCCCACUUUCCAGUCCUCACUGACCACUGGGUUGCACACACUUUGGAGAUCUCUGAACAGCAGUGUCAAGGCUUUCAAAUAGAGUUAUCUUUGAAACGACAACACAUGAAAGUCUGGUUGGUACUUGGAGCUUAAAUACAAGGCAAUUGUGUGCCUGCAAAAACAAAAAUAGCAAUAUUAUCCUUAAGAUUUCAACAAGACACAGUGUCUCAUCACAUAAUCCAAAGAAGUCCAGGUUACAAGCCCCACAAUAUUCAGCAUUAUGAAAAAACAGGGAGAUCUUAAUUCACAUGGCAAAGAGAAUCCUCGAAUAACAAUAUUGAGAGGACACAGAUGUCAAAAUCAUCUGACACAUACAUUAAAGCAGAUAUUAUAACAAUGCUCCUAGAAUCGGGGAUAACAUUCGUGAAGUGAAUGGAAAGUUGGAAAGUCUCACCAAAUAUUUCGAAUACAUAAACACCAAUUUAAACUUAAGAAUUAAAAAAAUGUAUUAACCAAAACUCUUAGGGGAAAUAAAAAGCUUAAUUGGAGGAUCUCCAUAAUCGAAUGCAGAAGACUAAGGAAAAAGUCAAUGAACUUGAAAACAGAACACGAAUACCUACAUAAUCUGAACUAUAGAGAGAAAGGAGGAUUUUAUUGUCUCUGAACAGAGGCUCAGGCACAAAUAAAAAAUAACAAAUCCAACAUUCACAUUAUUGUAAUCUGGAAAGAAGAGGACAAAGUGGUCUUUGUGGGAUAAAACUUUGAACAAUUAAUAGCUGAAAAUGGUUCAAAUUUGUCAAAAGAUAUAAACCAGAUUUUUAAAGUUCAGUAAAUGUCAAUCAGGAUAAACCCAAAGAAACCCAUAGCAAGGCAUAUCAUAAUCAAACUGCUGAAAACUAAGAAAAUACAAAACAAUUUUGAAAGCAGCCAAAGGGAAAUGAAAGAGAAACUACCAAAUGAAUGAUUGUAGAUUUCGCAUCAGGAACCAUAGGGGCCAGAAAAAAUGUCAUAACAUUCGGUAAGUAACAAAAGAAAAAGACAUAUCGACCCAGAAUGCUAUGUGGAGCAAAAGUAUCUUCCAGACAUAAAGGCAAAUAAAUGCAUUCUCAGUGGAAGGUAAGUAAAUACAUUCUCAUUCUUAGGAAGACUGCUGGAAAAGAAUUAGCAAAGAUUUGAGAUAAGAAAAAUGAUACCAGAAGGAAACUUAGAACAUCAUCAGUGAAGGAACAAAAGCAGAAAUAGAACAUGUCUGGGUAGACAUAACAGACUAUUAUUCUUCCCUUGAGUUCCUUAAGGAGACUACGGAAAAGAAGAGUGACUAAGAUCUCUGAAGAAGGGAAAAGCUAGAUGACUGGGCCACAAGAGGAAAAAAAGCAGCAAGACAGAGAUUUGUUGGUGCCAACUAAAUGAGCCCAACAGCCAGUGACAACAGAACUGCACUAAAAAAAGUCCCUCAUCAGCUCUUGAGAGCAGGUUCCUUAAAGGUGAACAAUAUUCCACAUACAAGGACUUUUUCAGCACCAUGCAUUAGAAAUGGAAGUGAAUGUUUAUUAUUUUUUGUAUAAGUUGGUUGAUACGGCUUUUCAGCUUCCCUCAGUAUCAUUAUCCAAAUUUUGUAGAUGACACUAAAGCUCAGAGGAGUUAAACCAUUUUCCUCAAAUCACAUAGUUUUAAAUAGGAAAACCAGAUAUGAAAAGCAGAUUUUUUUCUAAAUUAAAAAAAAAAAAAAAACUUGAGCUCUUGCUUUACCCUAGCACAUAGUCUCACCAUCUGUUUUCUCCAUGCCAGGUCAUUCAUGUAACAUUCAUUCACAUAACAAAUACAAAUAAAUGAGUGGAUUCAUUCAUCAGCUAUUAAUUCAGAAUCUCUUUUGUGUCUACCACACUAGGCUCAAGACUUCCCAGUGUCUUUGUCUCCUCUCCCUCAAAUCUCUCCACCCAAUGUCUUGACAAAUACUGUAGAUCCUUCCUGCACAGCAUCACCAGAAUGUUUUUCUUUCUUUUCAUUCACCUCUGUCAUCAUCCAUGCUAUGGUGUUUAUGGAGGAUGUAUUCUGCAGCAGGAAGUGUGAUGGGCACUGACGCUGCAGAAAGACUCCUGUUGUCCACCUCGGGAGCUGACACGAUAAAUGCGGGUAAAUCUCAAUCCUUUAAUAUCUUUAUGACUUCUUUCUCUUUCUCUUCAAUUUCUAUUUUCUCAUGUUCAAGCUCUGACAUUCAAAACUAAACACCUUUCUCUAACAUGUUGCUUUAAUUAUUUAAGCAUUCUGCCUGGGAUUUUUUCAAUUACUCUUGGGAGUUUUCAUAAAACUCUACCAACAUAUCUCCAAGUGGCCAGGCUUUUCAAUCACUGCUUCCCUCCGUGUGUAUUUCACACACACACACACACACACACACACACACAGCACUUAAAUUGAACAGGUUUAUUUCUUCACACAGGAAUUCCUACGAACAGCCCGGUUUUCUCCACCAUAUGUCCACUCCUUCUCUGCAUAGCUGAAUUUUGAUUCUUACACUCUAAUAUUUUACAUAUUCUUACACUCUGAUAUGAUCUUGUCUCUUAUUCUUUAUGGCUCUGCUCUGUAAUUUUGUUGUUGUUGUUCUGAGAUAUAGUUGGACAUGUAACUUGUACAUGACACACCUUAGCAAGGAGGCAACCUAUAUCUCAGAUGCAAGUGAAAGAAGCACUCCCCAGGGGUUUCCUAAGGUAGUGGUCAGCACGCUGGCUUCAUUCCUGAAAGGGCCUAGUUAUGAAAACAACAGGAGCUUUUUGCCUUCCAGAAAUCUGUACCAUCUCAAAAUCCCCAGAGAGUCUCAGCUACAAGGAACAAGUGAUAAUACUAUCUCACUUUUAUAAACACACACACACAACACACACACACAAAAUCAUUUAAUCAUUUUUAAUUAUUUAAUCAUUUUUUAAAAAUCAGUGACACUUUAGAUGGGCAGGUCUAGGCAGGGCCUCCUUUCCUGGAAUGUGCCUUUUUCUGUCCCGGAAUACCCUAAACUUGACAUUUUGGCAGUGUGAGUUUUCCCUUUUUGACUUUCUCCUUGUUCCCUUUCCUCUUCCUUCUUUGCAGAGAAUGAGUAGCCACUGCACCUUGCCCUGGGCCAUCAGUGAGAAGAUCUGCUCUUAGUAGAGCCCUGCUUUCCCGCUGAAGGCCCUGAAAUCCCCUGUGUUCCAGGCCACCCACUAAGGAUCAAUAAAGCUCCCCUGAUGUGGGGGAAUUAGCUCAAGUGGUAGAGCGCUUGCUUAGCAUGCAAGAGGUAGUGGGAUCGAUGCCCACAUUCUCCAAACUUUAUUAUUUAGACCCUGGGUCUCCAAACACUCAGGUCUCCAAACCCAAGUCAGAGAACAGGAUGCUGCUUUGGUUCAAGAUGUAGGAGCAGCAACAAUACAGGGCUGGUGACGGCUCCCUCCUGGCAUUCAGUAUAGUGUAGAUCUACCGUGUAAUUAAUUUUCUGCUUCUUUGAGGAGCUGUGAAACCAAGGGACAUAAACAAUUGCUCUUUUCUCCCUGUUUCUGCCUGUAGCUUGAAUGUGAGGCAACUGUGAAAAGUGCAGGGCAGAGCCACCUGGGUAAAUACAGCCCUGGCUUUCUGGUGAGAGGACUGAAACCAGGAUGUGUCAAGUAACUAGAAUGUGCCUGGACAGAUACUGUAGAAAGCAAACCCAUAAAGUUGUUCAUGAGCUUGUGGACGCACCUGCCAGCUGUGAAUAAGUGGGUCUAAUCCCAAACAACUUACCUAAAAAGAGCCUGAGGACUGAACUAAACAAUGGUCCACUUUCCAGUCCUCACUGACCACUGGUUGCACACACUCCAGAGAUCUCUCAUCCGCAGUGUCAAGGCUUUCAAAUAGAGUUAUCUGUGAAACAACAACACAUGGAAGUCUGGUUGGUACUUGGAGCUUAAAUACAAGGCAAUUGUGUGCCUGCAAAAACAAAAAGAGCAAUAUUAUCCUUAAGAUUUCAACAAGACACAGUGUCUCAUCACAUAAUCCAAAGAAGUCCAGGUUACAAGCCCCAAAAUAUUCAGCAUUAUGAAAAACCAGGGAGAUCUUAAUUCACAUGGCAAAGAGAAUCCUUGCAUAACAAUAUUGAGAGGACACAUAUGUCAAAAUCAUCUGACACAUACAUUAAAGCAGUUAUUAUAACAAUGCUCCUAGAAUUACGGGAUAGCAUUCAUGAAGUGAAUGGAAAGUUGGAAAGUCUCACCAAAUAUUUGGAAUAUGUAAACACCAAUUUAAACUUAAGAAUUAAAAAAAGUAUUAACCAAAACUAUUAGGGGAAAUAAAAAGCUUAAUUGGAUGAUCUCAAUAGCAGUAUGCAGAAGACUAAGGAAAAAGUCAAUGAACUUGAAAACGGAACAAGAAUACCUACAGAAUCUGACCUAUAGAAAGAAAGGAGGAUUUUAUUGUCCCUGAACAGAGGCUCAGGGACAAAUAAAAAAUAACAAAUCUAACAUUCACAUUAUUGUAAUCUGGAAACAUUCACAUUAUUGUAAGAGGACAAAGAGGUCUUUGUGGGAUAAAACUGUGAAGAAUUAAUGGCUGAAAAUGUAUCAAAUUUCUCAAAAGAUAUAAACCAGAUUUUUAAAGUUCAGUAAAUGUCAAGCAGGAUAAACCAAAAGAAACCCAUUGCAAGACAUAUCAUAAUCAAACUGCGGAAAAUUAAGAAAACACAAAACAAUUUUGAAAGCAGCCAAAGGGAAAUGAAAGAUAAAAUACCAAAUGAAUGAUUGUAGAUUUCUCAUCGGGAACCCAGGAGCCAGAAAAAAAUGUCAUAACAUUCAGUAAAUACCAAAGGAAAAAUACAUUAUCAACCCAGAAUGGUAUGUGGAGCAAAAGUAUCUUCCAGACAUAAAGGCAAAUAAAUGCAUUCUCAUUGGAAGGUAAAUAAAUACAUUCUCAGUCCUAGCAAAACUGCUGGAAAAGAAUUAGCAAAGGUUUGAGAUAAGAAAAGUGAUACCAGAAGGAAACUUAGAACAUCAUCAAUGAAGGAACAAAAGCAGAAAUAGAAAAUGUCUGGGUAGACAUAACAGACUAUUAUUCUUCUCUUGAGUUCCUUAAGACAAUGAGUAGCCACUGCUGUUUGCCCUGGCCCAUCAAUGAGAAGAUCUGCUCUUAGAGCCCUGCUUUCCUGCUGAAGGCCCUGAAAUCACCUGUGUUCCAGGCCACCUGCUAACAAUAAAUAAUGCUGCCCUGAUGUGGGGAAUUAGCUCAAGUGGUAGAGCGCUUGCUUAGCACGCAAGAGGUAGUGGGAUCGAUGCCCACAUUCUCCAAGCUUUAUUAUUUAGACAUCGUGUCUCCAAACACUCAGGUCUCCAAACCCAAGUUAGUGUCUGAGAACAGGAUGCUGCUUUGGUUCAAGACGUAGGAGCAGCAAUAAUAGAGGGCUGGUGAUGGCUCCCUCUUGGCAUUCAGUAUAGUGUAGAUCUACCAUGUAAUUAAUUCUCUGUUUCUUUGAGGAGCUGUGAAACCAAGGGACAUAUACAACUGCUCUUUUCUCCCUGUUUCUACCUGCAGCUUUGUCCUAAAUGUGAGACAAUUAUGAAAAGUGCAGCGCAGAGCCACUUGGGUAAAUACAGCCCCGGCUUUCUGCUCAGGGGACAGAGUUUGAGGCACUGCAGAGGAACCGGCCAAAGUAUGAGACCCAUAUAUUGAGAGUAACAGAGUGUAAAGUUCAAAAAAAUCAAAAUAUUUAAAGAUUUAUCAUGGGUCUUGAUGACAUGAUGGAAUCUCUCUACUCUCUGGACUUAUUAUGUGUGGUAAUAAAUUUACUUUUUAAAAGCCA
rnacentral:tRNA from 1 species